rnacentral:lncRNA from 1 species
CCGCCUCUUUCUCUCUCUAUUCUUUUCCUUCACUGCUUCACACCGAAACCCUAGCCUCCGUGUUCCUUUGGCUUGAAGCUUCUACAUCUCAUUUUCUCUGAAAACAUACGCUUGUGCUUGAAUCGACUGAUAAGGGAGACACGCUUUGCCCUUUCCAAUUCCUGCUCUCAAACCCUACUGUCCGAAUACACAUCUUCCCCUUCACGUUUCCUGCCGAUCAAUCGAUUUAUCAAUCCUAUAAUAUACUAAUCUCAUCAAUGUUGAAAGCCAUCAUCAAUUUGGCGUAGAUGGGUAUUCAAGAAAAUAAAGGCAUAAGUGGGAGUUUGGGUUCGUUUCUUACUCGCAGAUGCUUUGGUUGUCUUAUGAGGGGCUACUUAGAAGGUGAGUAAUUAAUGGUUAUUUUGGAAACUUUGCACUAAUUUUCUUGCUAAAUGGUCAUGACGAUGUUGAUUUGUGAGGUUUUGGUGUGUGCUGCCUCCUUUAGAAGAAGAGGAUGUUCCUCAACUAUACCCAAAAGGGUCAAAUCUUGGUGAGUGAGCUUGAGAAACAGUUGAAAAUGGAGAUAAAAUCAAGAAACAGAGCCAGAGCCAGAGUCUAAAAGAUCUGUCUAAUGAGAAUAAGAGUUAGAAAGAAAGAUGGAGCUGGAGAUCUUUUAAAAAAGAAGAUGACAAUGGCUAGAUUUUAUGUAUUUUGGUUCCAGCGGAAUGAAAUGGUCAAGACCGGGUUCUCCGGGUUCGGAGGAACCCGACUUUGUAGUGGGGCUACUUCAACUUCAAAGAUGAAACAAGGGUUACUAAAUAAAGUUCAAUAAGCAAUCCCAAACACCCCUCUAAAAGCAUGAUUUUACUUUCAACAACUUAUAUCAUGAGUUAGUUACUGUCAUUCAAUGAAAUUUGUCACGGAUAUCUUAAGCUUGAAAAUACACUGUUGGAAGUGCAGCUCCUCGUGUUAAAAAUACUUAAAAUAUGUGAUUUUGGGUAUUCAAAGUCAUCAGUUAGGCGUUCCCAAUCAAAGUCAGCUGCAACUUACAUUGCACUUGAAGUUCUUUCAAGAAAAGAAUAUGAUGGAAAUGUGGCUCCUUUGAGCUUUUAGUUAUUUACUAGACAUGCAAUUUAAUGUUAUUUCUUAUUUGAAUUACCAUACUUGACUCAUCCUAACACACACCAUUGUUCUU